rnacentral:rRNA from 1 species
GACGAACGCUGGCGGCGUGCCUAAUACAUGCAAGUUGAGCGCUGAAGGUUGGUCCUUGUACCAACUGGAUGAGCAGCGAACGGGUGAGUAACGCGUGGGGAAUCUGCCUUUGAGCGGGGGGCAACAUUUGGAAACGAAUGCUAAUACCGCAUAAAAACUUUAAACACAAGUUUUAAGUUUGAAAGAUGCAAUUGCAUCACUCAAAGAUGAUCCCGCGUUGUAUUAGCUAGUUGGUGAGGUAAAGGCUCACCAAGGCGAUGAUACAUAGCCGACCUGAGAGGGUGAUCGGCCACAUUGGGACUGAGACACGGCCCAAACUCCUACGGGAGGCAGCAGUAGGGAAUCUUCGGCAAUGGACGAAAGUCUGACCGAGCAACGCCGCGUGAGUGAAGAAGGUUUUCGGAUCGUAAAACUCUGUUGGUAGAGAAGAACGUUGGUGAGAGUGGAAAGCUCAUCAAGUGACGGUAACUACCCAGAAAGGGACGGCUAACUACGUG